rnacentral:rRNA from 1 species
UACGAAGGGGCUAGCGUUGCUCGGAAUCACUGGGCGUAAAGGGUGCGUAGGCGGGUCUUUAAGUCAGGGGUGAAAUCCUGGAGCUCAACUCCAGAACUGCCUUUGAUACUGAGGAUCUUGAGUCCGGGAGAGGUGAGUGGAACUGCGAGUGUAGAGGUGAAAUUCGUAGAUAUUCGCAAGAACACCAGUGGCGAAGGCGGCUCACUGGCCCGGUACUGACGCUGAGGCACGAAAGCGUGGGGAGCAAACA